GUGCCAGCAGCCGCGGUAAGACAGAGGAGGCAAGCGUUAUCCGGAAUUAUUGGGCGUAAAGCGUCCGUAGGUGGUUUGGCAAGUCUGGGGUUAAAGCCCGGAGCCUAACUCCGGAUCGGCCCUGGAAACUGCCAGACUAGAGUAAGGUAGGGGUUGCGGGAAUUCCCGGUGUAGCGGUGAAAUGCGUAGAUAUCGGGAAGAACACCAGUGGCGAAAGCGCGCAACUGGGCCAUUACUGCACACUGAGCGCGACGAAAGCUAGGGGACGCGAAUGGGAUUAGAUACCCCAGUAGUCCUAGCCGUAAACGAUCGCGUGACUAGACGUGGCUCGUACCCACUCGAGCUGUGUCGGAGCUAACGCGAUAAGUCACCCGCCUGGGGAGUACGCACGCAAGUGUGAAACUCAAAGGAAUUGACGG
rnacentral:rRNA from 1 species